AAUCCUUAGUGAGGAAACUUCCUAAGAUAUUCUUUGAAUCUUUUCCAAGCCUCAUAAAUAGAUUCACCAUAUAAUGGAGAAAAUGAAUUAAUGUCAUUUCUAUGUUU